GACGAACGCUGGCGGCGUGCCUAAUACAUGCAAGUCGAGCGCAGGAAGCCGUCUGAACCCUUCGGGGGGACGACGGUGGAAUGAGCGGCGGACGGGUGAGUAACACGUAAAGAACCUGCCCAUAGGUCUGGGAUAACCACGAGAAAUCGGGGCUAAUACCGGAUGUGUCAUCGGACCGCAUGGUCCGCUGAUGAAAGGCGCUUCGGCGUCGCCCAUGGAUGGCUUUGCGGUGCAUUAGCUAGUUGGUGGGGUAACGGCCCACCAAGGCGACGAUGCAUAGCCGACCUGAGAGGGUGAUCGGCCACACUGGGACUGAGACACGGCCCAGACUCCUACGGGAGGCAGCAGUAGGGAAUCUUCCACAAUGGACGAAAGUCUGAUGGAGCAACGCCGCGUGAACGAUGAAGGCUUUCGGGUCGUAAAGUUCUGUUGUAAGGGAAGAACAAGUGCCGCAGGCAAUGGCGGCACCUUGACGGUACCUUGCGAGAAAGCCACGGCUAACUACGUGCCAGCCGCCGCAGUAA
rnacentral:rRNA from 1 species